AGCAGUAGCCGCGGGAACACAGAGGGUGCGAGCGUUAAUCGGAUUUACUGGGCGUAAAGCGUGCGUAGGCGGCUAAUUGAGUCGGAUGUGAAAUCCCCGAGCUUAACUUGGGAAUUGCAUUCGAUACUGGUUAGCUAGAGUGUGGGAGAGGAUGGUAGAAUUCCAGGUGUAGCGGUGAAAUGCGUAGAGAUCUGGAGGAAUACCGAUGGCGAAGGCAGCCAUCUGGCCUAACACUGACGCUGAGGUACGAAAGCAUGGGGAGCAAACAGGAUUAGAUACCCCAGUAGUCCCUGUCUCUUAUAC
rnacentral:rRNA from 1 species